UUGGCGAAUGGUGAGGGGAUUUGAUUGUUGGCUGCGCUUUGGCUGGCUGUUCUUGCAUCUCUACGCCCCAGGAGUACUUGCCAUGUAGGACCUCCAAGCUGCCACAACAUAAUAAUAAUAAUUAUUAAUAUUUAUUAAUUUUUGCAUCAA